rnacentral:lncRNA from 13 species
CGCUACCAGUGCUGCCACUACCAUACCCAUGUUUAUUUCUGCUUCACCGCGACGGUCGAACAUUGCGUGUUGGGUGUUUAUGUUUCGAAUUUGAUUGUGCGACGAGGAAUGCCGAAUGUGAGAUAGCAGACAAUCGUUUUGGAGAGCAGUAGAAUUGUCAGCAGAAUUUCGGCGAGAAGACGACAUACGGAGUAACUUGAAUCAAUCAGAAAGAAAAUGCAGCAGCAACGACAACUGGGCAGCAUUCCAUUUGAUCGUGUUGCGAUUGACUACAGCCAUUCACAGAGGUCGGUGCCUAGAGUUUUUCCACUGUUCAAGCACUGUGAGUGGCUGGUGGUCACAACGCAGUCAAAAAACUCUCACCCAUUUAACAGAAAAUAUGUAUCUUUUUAUUAUUACAUUUGAUUAUAGUAUGCCACUGUAUUUAAAUAAUUUAUAUGAAGCAGCCUUAAUGUGUACUAAUCUGGUUGUAGUGAGAGUGACUAAAUUUAUCAUGUGUAAUAAAUUGAAGAUAUCCAUAUAAAGAAAACAGAAAUAU